rnacentral:lncRNA from 1 species
GUGUCAUUGUGGUGUCUACAUUAUGAGUAGAAUGGUGGAUUGGCUAAUGUGAAGAAGUAUAAGUGCAUCGAAGGAGGAAGUGUCAAAACUACCGGUAGGAGAGGGAUGAGGUCGCCGCAGCUGCAAAUCCGCAAGGGGGCACCUCAUUUGCUAAGAGCCUCAGUUUUAUUUAUUUUACUUAAAAUAAGUUGUUUUUUUGUUUUUUGUUUUUUGGGGUAGUGGGAUGGGAAAAUCGUUGGUUAUUAUUAUUAUUUUCUUGAACCUCAUUUGCUAAGAGCCUCAGUUUUAUUCAUUUUACUUAAAAAAAAGUUUUUUUUGUGUGGGAAAAUCAUUAGUUAUUAUUAUUUUUUUUUUGAAGAACGCAUUACGAUGUAUUAUUUUGUCAGAUUCCUUUCCUCUAUACUUUC